UCAACAGGAGAAGGAGUUCACGGUGAAGAGCAGCCGCCACACCGAAGCGACACAGCGGGAUGCUGCGUGCGUAAAGACUCCUCCUCCUCCUUUAGGUCCAGCCUGCUCCGUUCAGUGUGUCAUCUCUAUGGUUUCUCAGGUCAGGAUCAUGAUCAGACUCCUCGUGCAUUUAGCAGCUCUGCGGUUCUGUUUAUCAGAACCCUCAAAGAACAGUGUUGCUCAGAGUCCCGGUGCUCUGAUCAAACACCCCGGAGAAGAAGUCCGGAUAGAUUGUAACCACUCGAACACGGAUUUCGAUAUGAUCCAGUGGUACAAACAGUCUGCCGGGGAGAGCGACAUGCUCCUGGUUGGCUACGUACAAUUCACCUCCACAGUCGUGGAAGCUCCGUUCAAGGACUCGUACAACGUGAGCGGUAACGGGGGAAGUCACGCUUGUCUCCACAUCCCAAAGCCGGGUGUCCCGGAGGACGGGGCCGUGUACUUCUGCGCUGCCAGUAGAGCACAGUGCUGCACAGCUCCGAGUCUUUGACACAAAACACGCACCAUAAACCACAGAAGGGGUGACUGAUGUAUCACACAGCUGGAGUCUUAUUUCAUGCUGCAGAGAGAGGAGUCGGUUUAGGUUGAUUUAUUGUUUAUUGCGGUUAAUCGGGGGAAGGGCCCACGCAAUCCACACAAAUCACACGAUUUCAUCACAAUACGGGCAUUGAAACACUUAUUAAACUUUCAUUUAAAAAAAUAAUAAUUUAAGCACUUUGUUAUUUCUCAUUCUAUACAUCACUUUUUGUUGUUUUCUUUUAAAAUCAAU